rnacentral:tRNA from 1 species
UCCCUGGUGGUCUAGGGUCUAGGAUGCAAAGCUUUCACCGCUGUGGUCCAGGUUCAAUCCCUGGUCUGGGAA